rnacentral:rRNA from 1 species
UACAGAGGGUGCAAGCGUUAAUCGGAAUUACUGGGCGUAAAGCGCGUGUAGGCGGCCCACUAAGUCUGAUGUGAAAGCCCGGGGCUCACCCCCGGAAGUGCAUUGGAAACUGGUGGACUCGAGUCCCGGAGAGGAGAGUGGAAUUCCUGGUGUAGCGGUGAAAUGCGUAGAUAUCAGGAGGAACACCGGUGGCGAAGGCGGCUCUCUGGACGGUGACUGACGCUGAGACGCGAAAGCGUGGGGAGCAAACAGG